CAGGUCUCCCCUGGCGCUGGCUUCCCUUGCCCUGGAUGAUUUUCUGGCUCUUGGUUUUGCUUCCCCACCUGCUACCAUUUCAUUAGAUAAAGAGACCAUGG